GGGACUUGCCCGGGGAUACAGUUCGAUGGCGGCGAGCGGCAAAAGGUUGGGGCUGGGUCUCCGCCUCAGCUCGCGGCUGGCGCUGGUGACAGGUGGUGGGAGUGGGAUCGGGCGUGCUGUCUGCCAGCGGUUCGCUGAUGAGGGAGCCUCGGUGGCAGUGGUGGACAUCGACGAAAGCUCGGCCAACGAAACUUUGAAGAGCCUGCGCUGCAAUGAGCAGAAGCACUCUGUGUUCCUAACGGAUGUGACCUCCCCACAGAGUGUCCACAGUCUCGUGACUUCAAUACAGGAGCAGUUCUCCCGACCUCCCUGCGUAGCUGUGAACUGCGCCGGAAUCACCAUGGACGCUCUGCUGCUGAAGAUGGAUCCUGAAGCUUUCGAUCGAGUGUUGAAGGUUAACAUGAUGGGCACGUUCCUGGUGAUCCAAGCUGUUGCCAAAGCAUUAAUAAACAGUGGGACCAAGAAGGGCUCCAUCAUCAACCUGGGGAGUAUUGUGGGAAAGGUUGGAAAUCUGGGACAGGCAAAUUACACGGCAUCAAAAGCUGGAGUGGUGGCUCUGACAAAGACCAGUGCGAAAGAGCUGGCCAGGUUUGGCAUCAGGUGCAACGCCAUCCUCCCAGGAUUCAUUGACACGCCAAUGGCUGCCAAGGUGCCCCCGAAAGUACUGGACAAGGUUUUGCAGUUGGUGCCCAUGGGACGUCUGGGAGAUCCCUCUGAAGUGGCUAACGUCUGUGCCUUCUUGGCCUCUGAUGACAGCAGCUACGUCACAGGAGCCAGCCUGGAGGUGACAGGUGGUCUUUUCAUGUAAUGCUGUGCAACACGACCAAGGAGUACAGUGAACAGAUGACUGGACUGAUUGCUACAAUGGAUCACAAUUGUUCGGAAUAAUUUCCGAGGAAUAGGAUUGCCUUCCUUCUUUCCUCACCUUUUGGAAAAUCAUUUGAAUGGUGUUUCUCAGAAGAUACCCAUUCUCUGAUACCUCUUUUCUGGGCUGUGUGCCUCUCACAUUGGAUUGUGUUCUUCACCGUGCAGGGGAAUCUCUAUUGAGGAGGCUGGGUAUGUUAAACUGUGAAAUUGCCUGAUACUAGGGUGGAAUGGAAAAUGGCACAAAUGCUCAGCAGAGUUGUUAUUUCUGGUCGAUCUUUCAUCAGUCUGGUCACAAGAUAAGGUGAGCCCAGCUUUGCCUCACAGCUUCAGUGACCCAGGUUUCUCCUGACCUGUACUGCAUGUCCUUCUUGUAACUGCGUGGGUUUUCUCCCAUAUCUCAAAGACGUGGAGGAUGGCAGAUCUAUUAGCCAUUGCAAAUUAUCCCCAGUGUGUGGGUGAGUGGUAGAAUGUAGAAAGAAUAAAAUAGGAUUUGUGUAGCAUUAGUGUUAAUAGUCAGUGCAAACUCGGUGGGCUUGAAGGGCCCGUAUCCUUAUUAUCCAUCUGAAAAGUUAGCUGCUGUCUGUCCACAGAUAUCAUCUAAGAUGCUGAAUGAUUCCAGAUCACAAGGUUCUGCAGAGACUGGAACUCCAAAGCAGCACACACACAAAGUGCUGGAGGCACUCAGCGGGUCAGGCAGCAUCUAUGGAGGGAAAUGAACAGUUAACAUUUCGAGCCGACACCCUUCAUCAGAUGGGGAGGGAAGUUGGGAAAAACCAGAAUGGGAAGAUGGCAAAAGCCAGAAUAAGAAGGUGGAGGGAGGAGAAGGCAAAUGAUAGGUGGAGUAGGUGAGUAAAGAUUUCCCCAAUUUGACAGUACAAACAUAGAUUUCUCCAACUUCCAAUAAUUCCCCCCCCCUCUUUUUCUGUUCCCCAUUUUCCAUUCUGGUUCCUCUCUUACCCCUUCUCCUCACCUGCCUAUUACCUCCCUCUGGUGCCUCUUCUCCUUACGUUCUUCGAUGGUCCACUGGCCUCUCCUAUCAGGUUCCUCCUUAAGCCCUUCACCUCUUCCACCUAUCAUCACCUAGCUUCUUACUACAUCCCCCUCAGCUGGCUUCACCUAUUACUGGCCAGCUUGUACUCCAUCCCUUCCCCACCCCCCACCACCUUAUUCUGGCUGCUGCUUCUUACUUUUCCAGUUCUGAUGGUGGGUCUCAGUGUCAGCUGUUCAUUCCCCUCCAUAGAUGCUGCUUGACCUCUAGCACUUUGUGUGUGCAGAUUUUUUUUUAAAUUUCGGUUUUCCAGCAUCUCCAGUUUUGUGGGGAAGGAAUGUUUCACUGUGCAGGGAAUGUCAUCUGUCCAGAGCUGCCACAUCCCGUGCAUGUCUGUCUGCUGGGGACCCGUGGCUCAGUUCCUACUAUUUGACGACUGUGAUGCACUGUACUUAGUUUAUGGUGCACCCUCUGGAAGCAACGAUCACCUUGUGACCAAUUGAUCGGCCUUCUCUAUGUGGAAGGUGGUGCCAUUUGGAUCUGUGGGUUGAUAUGGCUCCAUUAUGAAGUCGAUGUUUAUCAGUGUGAUCCCUGGUCCGGUUGCUGCUACAAUAACUGUGGAUGACUGUCUACUAAGUCAGGGAGGUUGGGGUCCAUCCGCCCCCACCCCAUGAGUCCCCUUUCUCAGAGGUCCAUGGGGGGGUAGGCUGCCCCACUUUACAGCUCCUGAGGCGGAGCUUCUGGUACACCUGCUGCAGUUCAGUGAUAGCCAGGGUAGGCGGGUGUUGGCGGCACACAGGAACAGGAUGUGCUCUUCAAUGUAAACUUCGCCUGUGUGUGUGUGUGGAUGGAAUGUGUAAGUAUGUGUGAAAGCGACAUGUCUCACACCCAUAUGUCAGCCUUUCAAUUUGUGUCCGUUGCUGUGUCUCAUCAACCAUACCUCUCUGGAUGCCU